AACGUAGGACGCAAGCGUUAUCCGGAAUUACUGGGCGUAAAGCGCGUGUAGGUGGUUGCAUAAGUCACUGUUGAAAGCUCCCGGCUAAACUGGGAGAGGUGCGGUGAGACUGUGUGGCUAGAGUGUGGAAGAGGGGUGCAGAAUUCCGGGUGUAGUGGUGAAAUGCGUAGAGAUCCGGAGGAAUACCAGAGGCGAAGGCGGCACCCUGGUCCAAGACUGACACUGAGACGCGAAAGCAUGGGGAGCGAACGGG
rnacentral:rRNA from 1 species